rnacentral:tRNA from 1 species
GGUCUACUGGCGUAAUUGGUAGGCGCGUAGAAUUUAGGAUUCUAUGGGGAAACCCGUCCCAGUUCGAGUCUGGGGUAGACUACCA